GCAGCGGUGGUCCAGUGGUCAAGACGCCUCACUCCCAUGUCUUGCAAACACAAGCGUCCCGAAAAUCUGAUGAUGGCUGUAUGUUAUGCAUAUUACCGAGGAUGACUAGGUAUUGAGGAGAUCGUGAGUUCGAAUCUCGCUCGCUGCA
rnacentral:tRNA from 1 species